rnacentral:rRNA from 1 species
UACGGAGGGUGCAAGCGUUAAUCGGAAUUACUAGGCGUAAAGCGUGCGCAGGCGGUUUGUUAAGUCUGCUGUGAAAUCCCCGAGCUCAACUUGGGAAUUGCAGUGGAUACUGGCAAGCUGGAGUACGGUAGAGGAAGGUGGAAUUCCCGGUGUAGCAGUGAAAUGCGUAGAGAUCGGGAGGAACACCAGUGGCGAAGGCGGCCUUCUGGACCAGUACUGACGCUCAUGCACGAAAGCGUGGGGAGCAAACAGG